ACGGGGGGUGCAAGCGUUGUUCGGAAUUAUUGGGCGUAAAGAGCGUGUAGGCGGCUGAAUAAGUCAGAUGUGAAAUCCCUGGGCUUAACCCAGGAAGUGCAUUUGAAACUAUUCAGCUUGAGUAGGGGAGAGGAAAGUGGAAUUCCUGGUGUAGGGGUGAUAUUCGUAUAUAUUAUGAGGAGGACCCGUGGCGAAGGCGACUUACUGGGACUAUACUGACGGUGAGACGCGAGAGCGUGGGUAGCAAACAG
rnacentral:rRNA from 1 species